rnacentral:pre_miRNA from 1 species
AGAAAAAUAGUUCAAGAGAGCUCUCUUCAGUCCACUCAUGGAUAGGAAAAGGUUUUGAAUUAGCUGCUGACUCAUUCAUUCAAACACAAUAAGAAGAAGCAUGAUGAAUAUGCUAUAUUGUGAAUGUGUGAAUGAUGCGGGAGCUAAAUUUCAUCUUUCUCUUGUCUUUGCUUGGACUGAAGGGAGCUCCCUUUUGCUGUUUAUAUA